UUCCUCAUCCUCCAUUUGGAUAUGUGGUCUCGCCGUACGCUCAUCCGAACGGGACGCUUGGACCCGUUUCCAUGGUAAGUUACUUUGACAUAUCACACGAUAAACAUCAAAACUUAACAAACACGAAAAUGCGAGUGAUACUAGAAUGCGAAAUCGAUCGCACGAUGAAUUCAUAGCGACUUGUGUCACGCGAGGAAAUAAAAUCGUUCGCGUGAUUUUACACUCGAACGACUGCAUCGCUAAAUCGUUCACGUGACUGUCACAAAAGCAUCAAAAAACACAAUAUUUAACAUCGGUACUAUACUAACACGUGAAUAAUCGAAGCGACACUUCGCGCUGCUGGAGAUUAAAAGCGCGAAACCAGUCAUGUGACUAGCCGAAAAUAACCUACAGGAUAGGGAUGUUUAGGAGCCCUGCAGGGCCACGUGACGCGCCUAUUCCGGCCGAUUUCGGCGAAGUCGUGUGACGGGGUUCGUUGGCCCUUUAGGUGACCAACGGGACCACCCCAGCGGCCAAGCUGGCGGCGGGGGGAACGAUUUUUUGACAGCCAAGCGCCUACCAAAACUAAACAAAAAGGAGGACUAAUGUGUCCGUAAUGACAGAGAGCGGGCUGUUAACGGGUAGACCUCUUAUCUUGGUCCAUUAUAGCGGCCGUAAUGGGUCAUUAACGAAUAUCCCCGGCGUUCCUCCGACCUUGACCGACAGGUGCCAAAGCUACCAGUUCGUGUCAACCUUCGGAGCGAAAGCGGUUCCUGGAAUUUUCGUCUCCGGUCACGUGACAGCAGUUAACGCAGAUUUGCGACUGGUAAACAACUUUAAGCCAAGUUUGUCGCAUUUCAAACAAGAAUACAUACGAUACUGUAUAUUUUAAGAAUCGACACAGCGUUAGGAUCCUAAAAGUUACCAAAUAAUCCCUUUUUCUUUAUUGCUAUGCGAUAAGUAAGCGCUUUAACUCCGAUCCGGAAAGAUGAACAUUAAGAUUACUGAUCGAGGUUAAGGAAAUCCCAGAAAAAAUUGGCAAAUUGUGUACCAUUGUGUCUGAUGCUUUUUAUUGUUCCUACGCGUCUUAAUUUUUUUUUUUUUUUUAAUACUGGCAGUCUUUGAUAUGCGAUAGUUGCAGAUCGUUCAAAAUGGCCGAGUUUGGUGCAAGGCGUCGUUCACCUGACCAGAUUAAAGCUAGUCCAGUCCGGUUUAGACAUUGAUAGAGUGGGCCGUCUGCCAUUCUCCGUACCCUCGCCACUUCAGUCGCGCCAAGUAGCAGCUAACUAAGCCGAACAGCGUCGACGUCCCGUUUCGUUACGCUGAAGUCCCGCGUCCAUUAAUUUUCCCUGCGGUUGGUACCGCCCAAACUGACUUCUCCUGGUCACGCCAGUUUUCGGAUAGAAUCCGGCUUGCCUCCAGCUCUUUCACGUCUUCUGCCAGUAAAACGUUUGCGCGACGCUCAUCGCACACGGCGGACCGGUCUAUAACGGAAUUUUCGACGCUGAAGCACCGUUAAACGGGCCGAAACGCGCGCACACCGAAACAAACUUUUACACGGUAGACAUUGUAUUUAAGACGCAUUCAACGAUAUGUGUUAAUUUCGAAUUAAUUUUUUUUUUUUUUCGGGUUUCCAGAAGAAGGGUUACUGUUACCCUCCCAAUAUAUUCUGACUAUCGGUUUGAUGCGAGGCAGCAUUGAGUUGCGUUAACGUCAAAAAUCCGCAAGGGGUGGGAGUAAGUAGAUCGCUUUUCAUCAGACCGACAUAAGAAUAUAAUCUUCGUUGUCGGGUUGUUCUUGAUGGGCUUAAAGAGGCAAAAGCUGAUUACGGGUUGUUUAUGGGAGUAAUCCCAUCAAUGGGACGAUCCCAGCGGGAAGCGAUGACGUCGAGACUUAAUCAAAUGAUGAAAAAAUAGAGAAUGUCUGAUUUUGCGCUCGUUUGUCUUUGGGACAUGGUUAGACAGGUUUUAUAAUUAUUGUGCGCGGUUCGAUGGAACUUCUUUUAGGCAGAUGAUGAUGAUCGGCACUUCUGGCACGUGCCUAAUUAGAUGCUGAUGAUCAUUUUUCGAAUGCACUCAAAAGGAUGCUUCAGAUGCUUUCUCCAUUUUCUUCAGUAGAAUUUCAUUCAUAGCAUGCGCCUGUUUCAUACUUCUAUUAGAUGCAUUCAAGAUUAUAAGCAGGG
rnacentral:lncRNA from 1 species